UAGGGGGCGAGGACGAGGACUAGCGAGUAGCAGCGCGGAGGCCGUCCCCGAUGUUGGUCGCAGGACUCGCACGCCGAUGUAGACUACAUGCGCUUGUCGAGGAUAACUUAUACCCAGCAGCCAGUGAGAAGAGAAGCAUCAGCCCUAGCGACAGAAGCAGCGAGCGGGGCGGCGGAGGCGGCGGAGGCGGCGGCGGAGGAGGCGGCGAAGGAGGCGGCGGCGAGGAUUCGUGGACACCGAAGAAAGCUUCAAACCUGUUUGAAGCUUUCGAGGUCGGAUUCAUGGAACUAUGAACCUGGACUCGUUGUCUUUUACUUUAUCACAAAUCAGUUAUUUGGUUGCGAAUUUGUGUAAGAAAAACUUUUGGGACAGCUGCCGGGAAAUAUCGGUUUUGGUACGGUGGAAGGGUCUGGAGGCAGACCGACAUUUGUUGCGCUGUUUGUUCUCACACAUCGACCUUUCGACUGGAGAACCACCAGAACCAAACUCCAAGGACUACUACCAAGUACAGUUGCUGAAACAAGAGUGUAACAGCCUCUUGCUCAAACCAUCAUUUGUUUCAAAUCUCUGUUUUGCCAUCGACUAUCCAUUCCAUCGAAAAAACCAAAUCUUACCAUCACCAAAAUUUUUUCAAAAUUUACGUAAAAUACUUGGAUUAUCAUUGGUGCAUGAGGUUGUUUUUGCUAUAGCUUUACAGCGCUCACAGAACUCAGAGAUAUCUGCUUGUGCAACUGAACACUUAAAGAAGCAGUUAUCUGAGCUCAUAAAGAAUCACGUCAAUACUGACGACAAUAAGAAGCAAAAGGAAGGAGGUCUCCAGGAUACUUCACCAGAAAUUUUACAGCUUAUACUAACUUAUAUACCAGAAACAGCAAUCGAUAAUAAGUUAUCCUUAGAUACUAAGGAAACAUUUUUAAAUAGCUUAAGACGUGAUUUUCCCCGUGAACUGGUACCAGUGGUUUUAAGACCACUUCUGUAUCCAGGUGACGGGGAAGUCUCAGAAGAUAGCACUGACUCAAUCAUGGCUACAAAUCAAAUGGAUAAUACCAAUUUGGUAGAGCUGAUUAUGGAAUUAGGCUAUGGUUUUACUAGCAGCGUAGAAGAAUGUCGAAACAGCUUAGCGAGCCUCGGCGCUCGAGAACUAACCCCUCGAUGCGUGGCCAAAAUUCUCGGGUACAUGGCCCGCACCUGCAGUGGUCUGGAAGAUGCCGGGGGGUUGCACUCCUUUUGGGAAAACUCCGGUGCAAAUCAGGAUAACAAAGAAAAAUCGGGUGAUGCUCCAAUCACGUGGAACAUAGAAGUUUUUGUACAAGCUGUCAAAGAAGUAAAUGCAUCGUUAUCAUGGAACGAAGUACUAUCAAAACUCGAUCACCCAGAAUUUAUAAUCAAAGAUCGUCAGGCUCUCAACCUGGUGAUAAGUGCUAUAAGAAUGGGUUUGCAAAGUCAAGGCUACCCACCUGAUGUGUUCCCUGUGGAGGUAUUUUAUCGCCAUUGGGAGAACUUGAAGGGACAGUUUUCAAUCGUUCAGCAUAUCAUAAAGCAUCCGGAUAUCUUUUGCUUCGCCGAUUAUGCAUACCAUUCUGUCACGAUUGACGUUCUUAAGGCAGCACCAGAGAUUGACAACAAAGAAGCACUAACCUGGAGAUCUCUGAAUGUCGUUGAAUUAUUGCUCUACAUGGCUGAGAGAGGUCUACAGGUGGCCGUUCAAGAUUUAUUCAAGUGGCCAAUACAGCACUGUCCGGAUGUACUUGUGCUAUCGUUAUUGCAAAUCCAACCACCGAUUACGAUGUUCAGACAAGAGCUUUUAAGUGCCCUUAUGCCAAUAUUUUUGGGCAACCAUCCUAAUAGUGCAGUAAUCCUGCAUCACGCAUGGCAUACCAACAAUGUCAAGAUCAAAACCAUCAUCAUGCACUCAAUGGCUGAGUGGUACCUGCGAGGCGAACAUGAUCAAACACGACUUUCACGCAUACUUGACGUUGCCCAGGAUCUUAAAGCUUUGUCAGUCCUUCUUAAUGCUCAGUCUUUUCCGUUUGUCAUCGAUUUGGCCUGCUUAGCUUCACGUCGAGAGUACCUAAAACUUGAGAAAUGGCUCACAGACAAAAUCAGAGAUCAUGGCGAAGCCUUUGUUGCGGCCUGUGUCAAGUUUCUACAAAGAAGGUGUCCCCAAGUUUUGGGAUCUGGAAUUAAGGAAGAUCCAACCAUGUCCAAAGCUAGUCAACUACCUCAGGAAACUCUUACAACCAUCUUACACUGCCUGCAAGUUUGUGUUGGGAGUGUAUCGCAAGAGUGUGCCGAUGCAAUUUUGGGUAUGGUACAAAAUUGCAGUUUGAUGUUGAGCAAAGGAACGCUUAGCAGAUUACCACCGCCUGUUCUCAGACAUAGACCACUUGAUACUUUCAAUCCAGCUUUAAGCGGACAGCUAUUCUCCACAAAGCAAGUGGACACCUUAUCAAAUCUCAACUCAAGUUUGGCCUCAAUGAGUUUGAGCACCAGCCUUGGUCCACCUAACAACUCUGCCUUCAAUUUGCCGGGCACCUUGGGUCCUUUAGUAUCGGCGCCAGGCUCGCCAUCUCGUCUCAUGGGCCCGUCGCCAUCUCCAUUUCCAAUGUUGCCACUCUCCUCACAGUUGCAUUCGGGUCCAGUGGGCACCCAAGGCUCCUCUGUAAUACCUGGGGGAGCGGCAAUUGGUGGUCUCAACAGAAUGGGUCCACCAUCUGGCAUCGAAAAAACUCGUAUUCCCGAAACUUCAAACCUAUUUCCCGAUAUGAGCCAAAAUGUAUCCAAGGAGAUUGAGGACGAAGCCAACGGAUACUUCCAGCGAAUCUACAAUCAUCCACCACACCCGACUUUGUCGAUCGAUGAGGUCCUGGAUAUGCUCAAGAGGUUUCAGGACUCGACCAUCAAAAGAGAACGCGAUGUCUUCCACUGUAUGCUGCGCAACCUCUUUGAAGAGUAUAGAUUCUUUCCUCAGUACCCUGAUAAGGAAUUACACAUCACGGCUCAGUUGUUCGGGGGUAUAAUCGAACGAGGCCUAGUGACUAGUUAUAUGACACUCGGCUUGGCUCUGCGCUUCGUUCUUGAUGCCUUGCGUAAACCGGAGGGUAACAAGAUGUACUACUUUGGUAUUGCUGCUCUGGACCGCUUCAAGUCACGCCUCAAGGAGUACACAACCUACUGCGACCAUGUACGUAGCAUUCCGCAUUUCAGUGAGUUCCCGCCUCAUCUCAUCGAGUACGUAGAGUUUGGAUUGCAAGGUCAAGAGCCACCCUCACGCCCUCAGGGCCAAGUAUUGCCCAAAUCCUUGGCCGCAAUGCUCGCGCCAGCUACAACGCCUUUCAAGACUAUUGCGACGACUACAGUUACCACAAGUACAACCCAAGCUAAGCCUUCUACAACGCCGACCACAUCGCUUUCCGCCAGACCUUCUAUUGCUAAUGCCACAAACAUUGAUACCCUGCUAGUGGCUACAGACAAAGAAGAGAAAAUCACUGCACCACCCGAGACUUUACAAGAUAAAACAGCUUUUAUAUUCAACAAUUUGAGUCAGCUCAAUCUGCAGCAAAAAUGUGAUGAAAUCAGAGAUAUUGUUACCGAGGAAUACUGGCCGUGGAUGGCGCAGUAUCUUGUGAUGAAGAGGGCGAGUAUUGAACUGAACUUUCACGCUCUUUACUCCAAUUUUUUGGAUUGUCUAAAGGUGUCUGAAGUAAAUAGAAUGGUAACUCGGGAAACCUUCAGGAACAUAAAAGUAUUGCUUCGAAGUGAUAAAGGCAUCGCAAACUUUUCGGAUCGUUCUUUGCUGAAGAAUCUUGGUCACUGGUUGGGUAUGCUUACCCUUGGCCGAAACAAACCAAUUUUACAAGUUGACAUAGACCUCAAAAGCUUGCUAGUUGAGGCUUAUUGCAAAGGUCAACAGGAACUUUUAUACGUCGUGCCGUUUGUUGCCAAGGUUCUCGAGAGCUGUGCGAAAAGUCGAGUUUUUCGCCCGCCAAAUCCUUGGACUAUGGCUAUUAUGAAUGUACUUGCCGAACUCCACCAAGAACCAGAUUUAAAGUUGAAUCUUAAAUUUGAGAUAGAAGUUCUCUGCAAAAACUUGAGCAUUGAUGUGGCUGAAUUAAAGCCUGCGAUUUACUUAAAGGAUCCUGAUAAACUUGUCAAUUUAGAGUACCAGUUAUCGCAGCCAAAUAAAAAACUACAAGAGGUAUCUAAUAAUGUUACCAGUCAGCAACAGCAACAACAACCUCAGCAACAACCACAGGAACAGGGACCCGUCGAAGAUUUAGUAGGACAGAGUCGAGCUGUUCAACAACAGCACCAGCACCAGCAGCAACAGCAACAGCAACAACAACAACAGCAGCAACAACAGCAGCAUCAACAACAACAGCAGCAACAACAGCAGCAACAACAGCAGCAACAAGCAGCUCCGGUUAAUACCACACCGUCAUUGCCUACUGGACCACCUGAGCCUCGUUUCAACUACAUGGAUAUAAACGUCACCAGUAUCACCAAUAUUGCUCCGCACAUCACGAUCAACAACAAUCUACCACUUUUUCAGGCACACCCCAACCUUAAGCCAUUUGUUCGACAAGCCGUUGAACGCGCUAUUCAAGAAUGGAUUCAUCCAGUGGUUGAUCGUUCCAUCAAAAUUGCUCUAACUACAACUGAGCAUACUGUAAAAAAGGACUUUGCUCUCGAUCCAGAUGAAUCCAAAAUGCGCACAGCAGCACGUCAAAUGGUCCGCAAUCUCACUGCGGGAAUGGCUAUGAUCACUUGUCGUGACCAGAUCCUAUCUUCUAUAAGCUCAAACCUAAAGAACGCUUUCCUCAUGGCAAUCAUCGGUACCCAACCCACACAGAAAGAUUUAGCGGAGCAAGCCGCGAAUGUUGUUGCUGCAGAUAACAUGGAGCUAGCUUGUGCCUUCGUACAGAAGACUGCUGUUGAGAAAGCCAUUCCCGAAAUGGACAAAAGAUUGCUCAACGAGAUUGAGCUACGCAAAAUUGCCAGACAAGAAGGUAGAAGAUAUUGCGAUCCAUUGGCCAAGUAUCAAGCUGAGCGUAUGCCUGAACAAAUCCGACUAAAGGUCGGUGGUGUGACAGUCCAACAAAUGGCCGUGUACGAAGAAUUCGCUCGCAACAUCCCGGGUUUCCUACCACUUUCCGAACGCGACACUCAAACACUUUUCGUUCCCAAAGCAAUUGCCGAAUCUUCAUUAAUUCAACCUUUUUCUGCAAGUACACCUGCCCCUAUGGCCGUGGCUCCAGCUCAGCAACAAGUCGCAUAUGCCGCUACUGCUGUUGGCAAUGAUGAAGUAGGCUCUUUACUAGAAAAGCUUGCAAAUGAGGUUGAAGUUUUACUGACCACAAUGGGCCCGAGUACGCCGCCUCCGCAGCAUGCGACUCUACACAGUUUGCUCGAAUCAUUAAUUCUGACAAGACGCUCUAGAGAUGCUGGUGCGGCGAUGGUCUUGCUCAAAAAAGCCGUUGAGGGUUUGUUAGAUGGGCCGACGCUUUCAAGUGGCGUCAUGGAUUCCGAGAUCACCAUGAGGUACAGAGAAUUGCAUUUAAGGAUACUUAAAUGUUUGCAACACCCGAGAGGUUAUGGUAUGCAGUGGACAAAUAAGAACAUCACAAGAUGCCUCAUUGAAUGUAGAGAAGAAUUCAGAUAUAAUUUCGAGGCUGUCGAUUGUCUCAUCAGAUCUCAUUUAGUAAGCCUACCUCAGUAUGAUCUAGCAUUGGCCCAAGCCAUGGAAAAUGGUAGCGCAAUGGCUACAGCUUUUACAAUGCAACUAGUCCAAUUGUAUCUAAUCGAUGAGAGACAAACGACUCAUGUUACCGAACCUGAUCUUUUCCACAGUAUUGAAAUACUUGCAAGAAUGUCAGUCCAUAGAGCUCCACCUGAAGGCAUAUCGCUCUACAGAUUAAAUACACUAAUUGAUUCACUGCGUAUCAGUAACGAUCCCACAACACUUACAGACAGAGCGCCAGCAGGUCCCACUGCCCACAUUCACUCUGGAAUCCUCCAAGUAAGAGCGCGUGACUUUGAAGAUCCUCCAGGUUUGGUAGAAAAAACAGAGUACUUACUGCGCGAGUGGGUUACAAUGUAUCACAAUCCGACUCAUGCGCGUGACCCAACAAAAGCUUUUGGUGUCUUUGUCCACCAGAUGAACAUUCAUGGUAUCCUGAAGACCGACGAUCUCAUUACACGCUUCUUCAAACUUAGCACACAGAUGUGCGUGGACCACUGCUAUCGGGCUCUCUCAGAGACGAAUACAGCCCCUUCGGUCGUUCGGGCUAAAUGUUUCCAUACUUUGGAUGCCUUUGUCAGAUUAGUUGCCCUGCUUGUCAAGCAUUCUGGCGACGCAACUAACACUCAUACAAAAAUCAAUUUGUUGAACAAAGUCCUGGGUAUUGUCGCAGGUGUACUUCUUCAGGAUCACGAGAUGCGUGGAGUCGACUUCCAGCAGCUGCCCUACCAUCGAAUCUUUAUUAUGUUAUUCCUUGAGCUGUGCGCACCUGAACCUGUUCUCGAGGCUGUCAACUACCAAGUCCUGACCGCCUUUUGCCAUACUCUGCACAUUUUACGUCCAGCCAAGGCCCCUGGAUUCUGCUACGCUUGGCUCGAACUUGUCUCUCAUCGUGUCUUUAUAGGUCGUAUGCUUGCCAUCACGCCACAGCAACGAUGCUGGGGUAUCUACGCCCAGCUACUUAUUGACCUAUUCAGAUAUCUUGCGCCUUAUCUACGAAAUGCUGAGUUGGCCAAGCCAGUUACACUAUUGUACAAAGGAACGUUACGAGUAUUAUUGGUGCUAUUGCAUGAUUUUCCGGAGUUCUUGUGUGACUACCACUAUGGUUUCUGCGAUGUCAUACCGCCAAAUUGCAUCCAGAUGCGUAAUUUAAUUCUAAGCGCAUUCCCGCGUAACAUGCGUCUACCAGAUCCAUUCACUCCGAAUCUUAAGGUGGAUAUGCUGCAAGAGAUUAGCCUUGCACCGCGGGUACUCACAAACUUUGCCACGUUAAUACAACCUGUAACGUUCAGGAAGGAACUUGACUCAUAUCUUAAAGCUCGUGCACCAGUUACUUUCCUUGGAGAUCUACGCACCAACCUCCAGGUAGUAUCUCAGGAAGCCGGCAUGCGCUACAACAUUCAGCUAAUGAAUGCCCUAGUCCUGUAUGUGGGAACACAGGCAAUUGCUUUCAUCCGUAGCAAAGGUCACACGCCGAACAUGUCGACAAUUGCGCACUCAGCUCAUAUGGAUAUUUUCCAGAAUCUUGCUGUUGAUCUAGACACUGAGGGUCGCUAUCUUUUUUUGAACGCCAUAGCAAAUCAGUUGCGCUAUCCUAAUAGCCACACGCACUACUUCAGCUGCACACUGCUCUAUCUGUUCUCCGAGGCAAACACCGAAGCCAUACAGGAGCAGAUAACUAGAGUUUUGCUAGAGAGACUAAUUGUCAACCGGCCCCAUCCAUGGGGACUACUGAUUACUUUUAUCGAACUCAUAAAAAAUCCGACCUACAAGUUCUGGCAGCAUGAGUUUGUGCAUUGCGCACACGAAAUCGAAAAAUUCUUUGACUCAAUCACCUCGAUUCUGUAAAAGGAUUUUCAGAACAAAAAUAAUAGCUUCUUAUAACUCCAUACAACCUUUCGACGUCAGAGCUUUGUCCGUUCAUCGAAUUAUUAUUACACAUUAUUUGAGUCGGUAGCUCGUUCGUGCAUGGUUCAAAAACAAGUUCAACCAACUCCAGAGCCAGAGAUCCCAGAGUGAUAAGACGUUUUCUUCUUUGUCGACUUUCUUGUACAGUAUAUACGUGAAAAUAAGCGUGUAAAAAGUUGUUGAUCUAGGUGUACCAUACUUCAAACUUUACAAUUUUUUUGGACUCAAAUGAUAAUCGUAUAAAUAUAUACAUAUAUACAUACACUAAUUAUAAGAUUUAAUAUAAGUGAGUAGAAUAGAUAAUACAAUUAAUAUGUUGAUAUUUUAAUAUGAAUAGGCAGAUUUUCGUUGCAUCAGUGAGACAAAAUAUGUAUGAGAAAAAGCAACGAAACUCUUUAAGUCUCCUAAAUCGGGUCUUUCUAAAUAAUGUAUUCACCGAUAGGUGAAUUUAGUAUUGUAUUUUAUACUUUAUAAGCUAUACAAUAAAAGCAAAGACAAUUUUGAAAAAUAUUUGUGAAGAAACAGUGGCAUUCUGCAUAGAAUGCAAUGAUGAACUAUGCUAAUUUUUUUUCUUUAUUUUGAUUUAAGAUAUACAGUAAUGGGUGUUGAUUAUGAUUUGAAGUCAAGUGUAAUGUAAUAUUUAAGUAAACAAAGAGCGAAGUCUUUACAGUACGUCCGGAGCAAAUGCAAGAAGUGUCCCGACGUCUUUCUUGAAGAAAAAUGGUACCCGGAUGUAAUAUUGUACAAAAAAUGUGUUUUCGAUAAGUUUACGCAUGUAAUGCGACAAGAAAAGAAAGAAAACGUUAUGUAAAGAUUUACGAAUGACAUUUAUUAAAUAAGUUAAAAAUUUCUA